AUAAAAUACAAACUACUAAUAAAAUACAAACUAGUAAUAAAAUAUAAACUAGUAAAAAAAUACAAAAUAAUACAAUUCUAAGUCCAGUCGUGAAGACAGGUUAACAAAGUCCUCCGAGAGAGCGAAAAUUUCCAAGUUCAGUCGUGGAGACAGUUUGUCAAAGUCCCCGCAAGCUGCAAAAAUUUCUAAGUCCAUUCCUGGUAGUAGAUUGUCAAAGUCCUCCGAGAGUGCGAAAAUUUCUAAGUCCUCUCGUGGUGGUAGAUUGUCAAAGUCCCCGGAAGGUACAAAAAUUUCUAAGUCCAUACCUGGUGGUAGAUUGUCAAAGUCCUCCGAGAGUGCGAAAAUUUCUAAGUCCUCUCGUGGUGGUAGAUUGUCAAAG